rnacentral:tRNA from 1 species
GCCGCCGUAGCUCAGCCCGGCUAGAGCGCCGGACUCAUACGAUCCAGAGGGGAUAUCCGGUUGUCCGGGGUUCAAAUCCCCGUGGCGGCA